rnacentral:rRNA from 1 species
CUGCAUGGCUGUCGUCAGCUCGUGUCGUGAGAUGUUCGGUUAAGUCCGCUAACGAGCGCAACCCUCGCUGUGUGUUAUAUGUGUCGACACGGGACUGCCGGUCUUAAGCCGGAGGAAGGUGGGGAUGAUGUCAAGUCAGCAUGGCCUUUAUAUCCUGGGCUACACACACGCUACAAUGGCCAACACAAUAGGUUGCUAAGCCGCGAGGUGGCGCCAAUCCAUAAAGUUGGUCUCAGUUCAGAUUGUAGGCUGCAACCCGCCUGCAUGAAGAUGGAGUUGCUAGUAACCGCAGGUCAGCUAUACUGCGGUGAAUACGUUCCCGGGGCUU